rnacentral:lncRNA from 1 species
CAGUCCAGUUUGCAGAGGAGGAGCACAAAUACUGCUGGCCACAGAGACGGCGGGACUGCCGGCCAGGAGAGCGCCUGGCCAGGGUCUUCCUGCUGCUGCAUGUGAAUGAGCCCGCUGCGGCUCCUUACGAGCUCCUGCCCGCCACGCCGGCCCUGACUCCAGCGAGCAGACGGCUGCGGCCCAGGAAGAGCGACCCGGCCCUGCUCAGCCUGGCGGGCUGUGGGCUCCUCUAUGACGUCACCAGGCCCUUCCGCAGUGCCAAGAGAGAGGGCCAGUUCAAGGGGGCCGAGUUCUGCGUUAAAGCCGUGUGCCCCGCCAGCCAGCCUUCCUGCCAGCCCCUUCAGGCGGCCCUGAGCUGCCCCCCUUUCCUAGCCACGCUGUGGGGCAGCCGCCCGGGCACCAGGGAGCCCUUCUCCAUUCGACAAGACCCAUCGUUCCCUGGACAGGUCUGAGCAGGCUGCUGGAUGUGGCCCCCCAAGAGACUCUGCCAGCUCGAGGCAUCUGGGAGCUGGUGAGGCGUGACGUUGACCCCAAUAAAUUGGUCGUGUGUUUUCUCUGCCUUGGCU